rnacentral:tRNA from 1 species
GGUGGUGGCUCAGCGGUAGAGCACUUGCCUAGCACAUGCGAGGCCCUGGGUUUGAUCCUCAGCACCA